CCUACGGGUGGCAGCAGUGAGGAAUAUUGGUCAAUGGACGAGAGUCUGAACCAGCCAAGUAGCGUGAAGGAUGACUGCCCUAUGGGUUGUAAACUUCUUUUAUAUGGGAAUAAAAUGUUCCACGUGUGGGAUUUUGUAUGUACCAUAUGAAUAAGGAUCGACUAACUCCGUGCCAGCAGCCGCGGUAAUACGGAGGAUCCGAGCGUUAUCCGGAUUUAUUGGGUUUAAAGGGAGCGUAGGUGGAUUGUUAAGUCAGUUGUGAAAGUUUGCGGCUCAACCGUAAAAUUGCAGUUGAAACUGGCAGUCUUGAGUACAGUAGAGGUGGGCGGAAUUCGUGGUGUAGCGGUGAAAUGCUUAGAUAUCACGAAGAACUCCGAUUGCGAAGGCAGUUCACUGGACUGCAACUGACACUGAGGCUCGAAAGUGUGGGUAUCAAACAGGAUUAGCUACCCCAGUAGUC
rnacentral:rRNA from 1 species